rnacentral:rRNA from 1 species
AACGGACGUUGUUCCUUCGGGGAUAACGUUAGUGGCGAACGGGUGAGGAAUACAUGGAUAACGUACCCUGGACACAGGAAUAGCGGCGGACUUCGGUCCUUUAGCGAAAGUGCCGGUAAUACCUGAUGACCCCGCGAGAUCGAAUGAUCUUGCGGGCAAAGCUCCGACGGUCUGGGAUCGGUUCAUGUCUUAUCAGCUUGUUGGUGGGGUAAUGGCCUACCAAGGCAACGACGGGUAGCGGGCGUGAGAGCGUGAACCGCCACAUCGGGACUGAGACACGGCCCGGACACCUACGGGUGGCUGCAGCAACGAAUAUUCCGCAAUGGACGCAAGUCUGACGGAGCGACGCCGCGUGCAGGAUGAAGUCCUUCGGGAUGUAAACUGCUGUCAGGGGUGAGGAAAAAAAUGACCAACCCCACAGGAAGCACUGGCUAACUCCGUGCCAGCAGCCGCGGUAAUACGGAGAGUGCAAGCGUUGUUCGGAAUUACUGGGCUUAAAGCGCGUGUAGGCGGGAUGUCAGGUAUCUUGUGAAAGCCCCGAGCUCAACUCGGGAAUGGCAGGGUAAACCGGCAUUCUUGAGGCAGGUAGAGGUGAUUGGAACAACUGGUGGAGCGGUGAAAUGCGUAGAUAUCAGUUGGAACGCCGGAGGCGAAAGCGAGUCACUGGACCUGUCCUGACGCUGAGACGCGAAAGCGUGGGUAGCGAACAGGAUUAGAUACCCUGGUAGUCCACGCCGUAAACGAUGCGCACUAUGUAUAAGAGGCUCUGACGCCGAUUGUGCCGAAGCAAAAGUGAUAAGUGCGCCGCCUGGGGAGUACGGCCGCAAGGCUAAAACUCAAAGGAAUUGACGGGGGCUCAC